AAGUCAGAUUUCGACGAGCGAAGAACUCCUUUCUUAGAAUUCUCUAAAUUUAGUUUUAUAGUUGUUAAUAAAUUAACUAAAACAAUGUAAAAUGUUUUAAUUGAUUGAAUGUGUCCUUAGAUAAAAAAAAUAACUAUAGAAAUCCGCCGGUACACGAGCAAGCUUAUGGGGAUGACGUGGCUACAACGGGAGAGAGAAGACUCACUUUUUCUCUUGCAGAGACCAGAACCAGGAAUUGCUGUGUCAGAAGCAUUCUGCGGGACUCCCACUCACUAAAACACCACGGACAUUUUGAACAUCUCCACGACAUUAUGGAAACCGAUAACUACGUUGAGGGCAUCGUUUAACUUCGAGCAUCCGCGAAUCUCGGACAAUGCAGGAUAACAAGUUCCGUGUCCUCAGGUGUAGCAGCGCAUUCAUGAUAGUCGGAGGACUCGUCCAGUCCAAAGCGAUGUCGUUAAGCAGUCUUUUGAUGAUGAAUAUACAUGGAAACCGAUUCAACUCUAUUUUUUGAUUCAAUACCGUGUAACUACUCUGUUCUAUCUGUUCAUUGUAGUGUAGAGGGAAAUUAAAAAUUAAAUCUCGGAUGCCUUAGCGGAAGAAGAUUCAAUUUCCUCUUUGCGCCGGUCCGAACCAAGAAUUGGAGUGUCAUUAGUAUUGGCUAAUUCUGUUAUUGAAAACUGAGAAUAAGCUUCCCAAAAAGACAAAUGGCAGAUACUUAAUGCUGCAAGACGCACCAAAUUUUUCGUAUCAAAAUCAAA